rnacentral:rRNA from 1 species
GACGAACGCUGGCGGCGUGCUUAACACAUGCAAGUCGAACGGAAAGGCCCUGCUUUUGUGGGGUGCUCGAGUGGCGAACGGGUGAGUAACACGUGAGUAACCUGCCCCUGACUUUGGGAUAACUUCAGGAAACUGGGGCUAAUACCGGAUAGGAGCGCCUGCUGCAUGGUGUGGGUUGGAAAGUUUCGGCGGUUGGGGUUGGACUCGCGGCUUAUCAGCUUGUUGGUGGGGUAGUGGCUUACCAAGGCUUUGACCGGUAGCCGGCCUGAGAGGGUGACCGGCCACAUUGGAACUGCGAGACGGCCCAGACUCCUACGGGAGGCAGCAGUGGGGAAUAUUGCACAAUGGGCGGAAGCCUGAUGCAGCAACGCCGCGUGCGGGAUGACGGCCUUCGGGUUGUAAACCGCUUUCGCCUGUGACGAAGCGUGAGUGACGGUAAUGGGUAAAGAAGCACCGGCUAACUACGUG